rnacentral:rRNA from 1 species
GAUGAACGCUGACAGAAUGCUUAACACAUGCAAGUCUUUGGCGAAUCUGUGCUUGCACCGGCUAGCCAAGGCGGACGGGUGAGUAACGCGUAAAGAACUUGCCCUGCAGACAGGGAUAACAGACGGAAACGACUGAUAACACCUGAUACAGUUGCCGGCACGCAUGUGCCUGGCAAUGAAAAGAGAUGCUGCAGGAGAGCUUUGCGUCCUAUUAGCUUGUUGGUGAGGUGACGGCUCACCAAGGCGAUGAUAGGUAGCCGGCCUGAGAGGGUGAACGGCCACAAGGGGACUGAGAUACGGCCCUUACUCCUACGGGAGGCAGCAGUGGAGAAUAGUGGACAAUGGGGGCAACCCUGAUGCAGCAAUUCUGUGUGCACGAAGAAGGUUUUCGGAGUGUAAAGUGCUUUCAGCAGGGAAGAAGAAAGUGACGGUACCUGCAGAAGAGGCGACGGCUAAAUACGUG